GACGAACGCUGGCGGCGUGCCUAAUACAUGCAAGUUGAGCGAUGAAGAUUGGUGCUUGCACCAAUUUGAAGAGCAGCGAACGGGUGAGUAACGCGUGGGGAAUCUGCCUUUGAGCGGGGGACAACAUUUGGAAACGAAUGCUAAUACCGCAUAACAACUUUAAACAUAAGUUUUAAGUUUGAAAGAUGCAAUUGCAUCACUCAAAGAUGAUCCCGCGUUGUAUUAGCUAGUUGGUGAGGUAAAGGCUCACCAAGGCGAUGAUACAUAGCCGACCUGAGAGGGUGAUCGGCCACAUUGGGACUGAGACACGGCCCAAACGCCUACGGGAGGCAGCAGUAGGGAAUCUUCGGCAAUGGACGAAAGUCUGACCGAGCAACGCCGCGGGAGUGAAGAAGGUUGUCGGAUCGUAAAACUCUGUUGGUAGAGAAGAACGUUGGUGAGAGUGGAAAGCUCAUCAAGUGACGGUAACUACCCAGAAAGGGACGGCUAACUACGUG
rnacentral:rRNA from 1 species